UAGAGAUUCCUCCCUGGCAGCAUC
rnacentral:siRNA from 1 species